UACGUAGGGUGCGAGCGUUAAUCGGAAUUACUGGGCGUAAAGCGUGCGCAGGCGGUUUUGUAAGCCAGAGGUGAAAUCCCCGGGCUUAACCUGGGAAUGGCAUUUGGGACUGCAAGGCUGGAGUGUGGCAGAGGAGACUGGAAUUCCUGGUGUAGCAGUGAAAUGCGUAGAUAUCAGGAGGAAUACCGAUGGCGAAGGCAGGUCUCUGGGCUGACACUGACGCUCAUGCACGAAAGCGUGGGGAGCAAACAGG
rnacentral:rRNA from 1 species